UCCUUGGUGGUCCAGUGGUUAAGACUCUGCACUUCUAAUGCAGGGGCUGUGGGUUCAAUCCCUGGGCCGGGAA
rnacentral:tRNA from 1 species